rnacentral:rRNA from 1 species
CCUACGGGAGACAGCAGUGAGGAAUAUUGGUCAAUGGGCGCGAGCCUGAACCAGCCAAGUAGCGUGAAGGAUGACUGCCCUACGGGUUGUAAACUUCUUUUAUAAAGGAAUACAGUGAGGCACGUGUGCCUUUUUGUAUGUACUUUAUGAAUAAGGAUCGGCUAACUCCUUGCCAGCAGCCGCGGUAAUACUGAGGAUCCGAUCGUUAUCCGGAUUGAUUGGGUUUAAAGGGAGCGUAAAUGGGUUGUUAAGUCAAUUGUGAAAGUUUGCGGCGCAACCGUAAAAUUGCAAUUGAUACUGGCAGUCUUGAGUACAGUUGAGGUAGGCGGAAUUCGUGGUGUAGCGGUGAAAUGCUUAGAUAUCACGAAGAACUCCGAUUGCGAAGGCAGCUUACUAAACUGCCACUGACAUUGAUGCUCGAAAGUGUGGGUAUCAAACAGGAUUAGAUACCCUUGUAGUC